GACGAACGCUGGCGGCGUGCUUAACACAUGCAAGUCGAGCGACUGCAUUCUUUUCGGAGGGUGUAUGGAGCGGCGAACGGGUGAGUAACACGUGAGUAAUCUGCCUUUGGCUUGGGAAUAACUUCGGGAAAUCGGGGCUAAUGCCUGAUGUUCACUGUCUGCUGCAUGGUGGGUGGUGGAAAGAUUUUUUGGCCAGGGAGUGAGCUCGCGGUCUAUCAGCUGUUGGUGGGGUAAUGGCUUACCAAGCUUUGACGGGUAGCCGGCCUGAGAGGGUGUUCGGCCACACUGGGACUGAGACACGGCCCUAGGACUCCUACGGGAGGCAGCAGUGGGGAAUAUUGCGCAAGU
rnacentral:rRNA from 1 species